GGAGGCGCUUGUGUUCUGGUGUGCACCCCGGUCUUCAAAACCGGUGGACGGCGCGCGGCGUCGUCGGCGGGUUCGAUUCCCGUGCGCCUCCGCUCCA
rnacentral:tRNA from 1 species